GUGCCAGCAGCCGCGGUAAUACGGGGGGUGCAAGCGUUGUUCGGAAUUAUUGGGCGUAAAGAGCGUGUAGGCGGCUAGACAAGUCAGAUGUGAAAUCCCUGGGCUUAACCCAGGAAGUGCAUUUGAAACUGUCCUGCUAGAGUAAGGGAGAGGAAAGUGGAAUUCCUGGUGUAGAGGUGAAAUUCGUAGAUAUCAGGAGGAACACCGGUGGCGAAGGCGACUUUCUGGCCCUAUACUGACGCUGAGACGCGAAAGCGUGGGUAGCAAACAGGAUUAGAUACCCGCGUAGUCC
rnacentral:rRNA from 1 species